rnacentral:rRNA from 1 species
AUUGAACGCUGGCGGCAGGCCUAACACAUGCAAGUCGAGCGGAUGAAGGGAGCUUGCUCCUGGAUUCAGCGGCGGACGGGUGAGUAAUGCCUAGGAAUCUGCCUGGUAGUGGGGGAUAACGUCCGGAAACGGGCGCUAAUACCGCACACGUCCUGAGGGAGAAAGUGGGGGAUCUUCGGACCUCACGCUAUCAGAUGAGCCUAGGUCGGAUUAGCUAGUUGGUGGGGUAAAGGCCUACCAAGGCGACGAUCCGUAACUGGUCUGAGAGGAUGAUCAGUCACACUGGAACUGAGACACGGUCCAGACUCCUACGGGAGGCAGCAGUGGGGAAUAUUGGGCGAUGGGCGAAAGCCUGAUCCAGCCAUGCCGCGUGUGUGAAGAAGGUCUUCGGAUUGUAAAGCACUUUAAGUUGGGAGGAAGGGCAGUAAGUUAAUACCUUGCUGUUUUGACGUUACCAACAGAAUAAGCACCGGCUAACUUCGUG